GUGCCAGCAGCCGCGGUAAUACGUAGGGGGCAAGCGUUGUCCGGAUUUAUUGGGCGUAAAGAGCGUGUAGGCGGCCAGACAAGUCUGCUGUGAAAACUCGAGGCUCAACCUCGAGCUGUCGGCGGAAACUGUCUGGCUAGAGUCCGGAAGAGGAGAGUGGAAUUCCUGGUGUAGCGGUGAAAUGCGCAGAUAUCAGGAAGAACACCUAUGGCGAAGGCAGCUCUCUGGGACGGUACUGACGCUGAGACGCGAAAGCGUGGGGAGCGAACAGGAUUAGAUACCCGAGUAGUCC
rnacentral:rRNA from 1 species